UACGUAGGGGGCGAGCGUUGUCCGGAUUUAUUGGGCGUAAAGAGCGUGUAGACGGCCAGGUAGGUCUGCUGUGAAAACUCGAGGCUCAACCUCGAGACGUCGGCGGAAACCAUCUGGCUAGAGUCCGGAAGAGGAGAGUGGAAUUCCUGGUGUAGCGGUGAAAUGCGCAGAUAUCAGGAAGAACACCCGUGGCGAAGGCGGCUCUCUGGGACGGUACUGACGCUGAGACGCGAAAGCGUGGGGAGCGAACAGG
rnacentral:rRNA from 1 species